AUUGAACGCUGGCGGCAGGCCUAACACAUGCAAGUCGAGCGGCAGCGGGAAAGUAGCUUGCUACUUUUGCCGGCGAGCGGCGGACGGGUGAGUAAUGCCUGGGAAAUUGCCCAGUCGAGGGGGAUAACAGUUGGAAACGACUGCUAAUACCGCAUACGCCCUACGGGGGAAAGCAGGGGACCUUCGGGCCUUGCGGGAUUGGAUAUGCCCAGGUGGGAUUAGCUAGUUGGUGAGGUAAUGGCUCACCAAGGCGACGAUCCCUAGCUGGUCUGAGAGGAUGAUCAGCCACACUGGAACUGAGACACGGUCCAGACUCCUACGGGAGGCAGCAGUGGGAAAUAUUGCACAAUGGGGGAAACCCUGAUGCAGCCAUGCCGCGUGUGUGAAGAAGGCCUUCGGGUUGUAAAGCACUUUCAGCGAGGAGGAAAGGUCAGUAGCUAAUAUCUGCUGGCUGUGACGUUACUCGCAGAAGAAGCACCGGCUAACUCCGUGCCAGCAGCCGCGGUAACAC
rnacentral:rRNA from 1 species